rnacentral:lncRNA from 1 species
GUUGCUCCUCUGGCAUUGGUCUGAAAUGGGUUUGUAGAAGAUGCCACAGAAGGACCAGCAGCAGCAACAAAUGGAUUUGUGGAAGGCGUAGCUUUAAAAAAUUAUAAAAUACACUAUAAAAUCCUAAUACAUUUUGUAUUUAAGAUUUAAAUUAUUUCACUAUAUUUAUCAAGACAGAAAACUCAAGGAUUCUGAUAACAAAUCAUUGCUUUGACUCCUAAGAAAAUGCUACACAAUAUAUAUUUGGGUUCUUUGUAAAAACCAGUGUAUAUACCAGAAGCACAUACCUCCAAAUGGAGCAGGCACACUUGAUGAAGCAGGCUGUGUCUGUGCAGAAGCAACCACUGGCACUGUUCCAAAAACAUUGCUGAGAACAAAUAUUGAAAGAGUUCAUUUUUUUUCUUA